GAGAAACAAAGGAGAGUGGAUGAAGAACACAGCAGCCUGCCUCCACAGCUUUGGGUCUUCCCUUAGAUGUUGCAAGCCUUCAAUGGACUCUAGAGUUCCAAAACAGUUAUAUCAGAUGGUUCUCCCAGUGCAAUUGUUAUCUAGUUUCUAAUGUCACUGCAGCUGUGCCGUUCAAUAGUGAAUAGUCUUACUGUCAAUGAAUCGAUGUGCAAAUAAUUUCCUUGGGAGGAACUCUUUAUAACGAUCUACAAUCAGAAAGUGAUUCAAAAGACUCUCAGCUAAGUGCUACAUAAUGAGCAACUCGUACUCCUCAACCAAACGAUAAUGAAAGAGAGGCACCUGACUCAAGCAAUGGAUGUCGGAGCAGAAGACUAGAAGGCAAAGCAAGUACAUGCUACCUGUCUGGGCAAGACCUUUCAGUGCCUUUCCAUAUUUCAAUGGGUAGUCAUCUGCACACCUUCCAGUCUUUUCUUCUGUAUUGCAAAGGCUAGAAGCCUUGGUACUAUAUUUAUCAAACUUACUUUUUUUUUUUUUAACAAAUCUUCAAUGUGAUUCUCAUUUUGCUAAGAUACAUUUGUAUGAAAUUUUGAGAUAGAAAAGUAUGAAUAAGAAAGCAUUGCCUUCUUUCUCAGUGGCAGCACACAAACAUAUGGACUUCACAGACACGACAUUUUGCAGCAACUUCUAGAUCUUCCCCCUGUGAGUGCCCUGGGACAUCAUUACAAUAAAUAAACCAUUCAGGAAGUCAAAGGAUGGUAGUUUUCACAGAAGCAUUGCAAGCAUUGAGAAGAAAAAUAAUCCAUAUCUAGUAGGUUUAUUUUUAUGAGGAUAAAUCUCUGGCCUCUCCAUAUGGAAAAGGAUCUCCUGUAAGUUAAUCCUGCCAUCAGGUUGCUGGCUGGUUUGCCUGGGAUAUAAAGCCCUAUUAGUGAGCCAGUGGUGACCUUUGCUGCUGUCUGGUUAGAUGCGCAGCAGCACUGCAGUCACCCUUUCUGAGGGAAAGUUCACGUUUUGAAGCCUAGGUAGAAAUUCUCUCUGUACCACCAUGGUUUCACUGAAUGUGAGUCAAUUGAGGCAUCACCAGGGUGGCAAAAAGUUAUCAAGUCAAGCCCAGUCAACUCAGAAAAUUCAUCUCAGAAUUCCAUUUUACGUCAAUUUCCUGGCAUAAUGUUGAAACACUCUGCCCUUUAGUAUCUGGAACAAUGUCUAACACAAUAAUGCUUAACGCCGGGGAAAUGAGGGCAUAGGUCUGAAUCUCCGGAGAUUCCUUUUAUGGGGAAUAUCUUUUAACACCCCUUAGGAAACAACAUCAACUCACUAAAGACAGUACCAAUAAGGUCUCCUGCCUUCCCCAGGAAUAAAGAUUUAAAUCACACCAGCUCAAUGCUGGUUGAGGGCAAGGGAACAAUGAAUGGCUUGUGGAAGGGGAAAGUUAAAAAUGCAAAUUACAACUUUGUGCCCCAUUUAAGGAAAGAGAACUUGAAUAGCUAUGCAUAUUUGUGUUUUCUUCCUUGCUUUGUUAUGUACAUAUUUGUAUAUAUCAGCCACUAACUUCUUAUCUUUCCUUCAUUCUUCACUUACUAAUUUACAUAAGGUACUGGUAGUUCAUAUAAAUUCAUUUUUAGAGACUAAAUAUAAAAGCAGAAUUGCAACUGAACUUAAGCAAGAAUCAUUAUCACCCAGGGCUAGAUUUGGUGACUAAUAGAAGUUUGGAUCUCUAUUUUUAGAGGAGGGAUUGAGAAAAUUUUUGUAUGGGGAAUAAUUCUAUUCUAUUAGCAAGAAUCGUGUUGUUUUUUGCCAUUGCUGCUAAUUAAAAUUUUAAAUAUUGUCAAAA
ensembl:lncRNA LINC02511 long intergenic non-protein coding RNA 2511